GGCGCCCAGGACCUGAUGGAGGACGAGGAGACGGAGGCCGCGGACGAAGACGAGGACGACGAGGCGGAAGUGGAGGACGACGAGAACGUGGAGCUGACGGAAGAAAAAGAGGAAGAGGAGGAGGCGUCGGUCGGAGAGGUGAAGGCGUCCCCCAACGCAGACACCACCAUCCUCUUCGUCAAAGGAGACGACUUCCCUGCCAAUGAAAUCGUGAA